GAUGAAGAACGCAGCGAAAUGCGAUAAGUAGUGUGAAUUGCAGAAUUCAGUGAAUCAUCGAAUCUUUGAACGCACAUUGCGCCCCUUGGUAUUCCAUGGGGCAUGCCUGUUCGAGCGUCAUUUGUACCUUCAAGCUCUGCUAGGUGUUGGGUGUUUGUCCUUGCUCUAGUGGCGGGACUCGCCUUAAAGUAAUUGGCAGCCAGUGUUUUGGUUUUGAAGCGCAGCACAAGUCGCGAUUCAAGUCUAUACGCUAGUUUCCACAAGUCUUUUAUCACUUUUGACCUCGGAUCAGGUAGGGAUACCCGCUGAACUUAAGCAUAUCAAUAAGCGGAGGA
rnacentral:misc_RNA from 1 species